CUAAGGAAUAGUACGGAAGACUACACAUCGUUUGCCUUUGUUCAGUUUUGAGAGGUUUACUCUCAAAAUAGUUUGUUCAUUGAAAACUGGAUAUCGAAGAAAAUCAAAACAAGUAACACACACCGAGUGGACAAGUUAAAGAGUUUUUUAAUAAGUUCAACGCUUAUUUUCUUGAGCAACCUUCUAUCGCUAGAAGAAGUACUCACCGACCGUAAGGUCAAA
rnacentral:misc_RNA from 1 species